AUGUCAAGGAAGCCUACAACUAGCCACCACCUCCGUUCUCUUCCUAAUGGCAUCGUUUGUCAUGUUCGUCGUUGUUUAUAUGGCCCUAAGCAAACCCCUCAUGCUUGCUUUGAGCGCUUCGUCUCAGUGGUGAUUGCGGCUAGUUUUUGGCGAGUGCUAAUUAUCCUACACUUUCAGUCCACCAUUCAACUCGUGGUCAAACACUUCUUCUACAUGUCGAUCAUCACUGGCACCAGGAUCAUCACUAGCAACGUCCACCUUUGUGACCACCUUCGCUCCCUACCAGUCUUGAUGGGCAUCCUUUGCCUUUCUACGGGUUGCUACAAGCACUGUCUCAAUCCCACAUCUUCUGUUCCCUUUAUGUGUGACACCAUAACCGAACGCUCGAGCACCACCAAUGGGGAGCAGGAGCUCGGACAGUCAAUGCGUACAUGGAUUAUGCACGAGACGGGCCGAGGACAGGCGCUACCAAAAGUCAAGGCCACGGGCGCACAGUACGAGAACCCGGGGUGCUUAAUCAAGCACGUGGCACAACCCGCAAACAGGAAAGGAACACCUGGCUAG
rnacentral:rRNA from 1 species